rnacentral:rRNA from 1 species
UACGGGGGGGGCAAGCGUUGUUCGGAAUUACUGGGCGUAAAGGGCUCGUAGGUGGCCAACUAAGUCAGACGUGAAAUCCCUCGGCUUAACCGGGGAACUGCGUCUGAUACUGGAUGGCUAGAGAUUGGGAGAGGGAUGCGGAAUUCCAGGUGUAGCGGUGAAAUGCGUAGAUAUCGGGAGGAACACCCGUAGCGAAGGCGGUUCUCUGGGCCAAUACUGACGCUGAGGAGCGAAAGCGUGGGGAGCAAACAGG